UCUUGUGUGUCUUUCCUACCUAUUACUGCUGACGAAUGCUCUGACUUUAUUGCACUACUGUACUUUACAGCUAGCAGUGCAAUAGUAUUGUCAAAGCAUCUGAAAGCAGAAUGUACACCAGAA
ensembl:miRNA